UCCAAUUGUCUACAUGGCUGGCUGCGUUUUACUACCACUGAAAACAUUAUUUUGUUUUUCUAAGGACACAAAACAACGGAGUGGGAGAACCUCUUCAAGACUACCUGGACUGAUAACUCCUGGCUGGUCGUGCUGCUGACCCAGUUUCAACUGUUCUGCCUGCGGCAAUGGAACACUGACCUGUUCACCAGACAUGCUACCUUGUCCCGGAACUGCUGUUUUCGUCACUCGCGCUCUCUCUCUCACAUCUCACAUCUCUGAAUGCUCGGCUAUGAAAAGCCAACUGACAUUUAAUCCUAAAGUGCUGAUCUGUUGCACCCUCCAUAACCACUGUGAUUUAUUAUUUGAAACUACUGUUCAUUAUGAACGUUUGAACAUCUUGAAGAACAAUCAGGCCUUAAUGGCCAUGUACUCUUAUAGUAUCCCUCCAUCACAGCCAGAAGAGGACUGGCCAUCCCCCAGAGCCUGGUUACUCUCUAGGUUUCUUCCACGGUUCCUGCCUUUGUAGGGAGUUUUUCCUAGCCAACGUGCUUCUACAUCUGCAUUGCUUGCUCUUUGGGUUUUAGGCUGGGUUCUGUAUAAGCACUUUGUGACAUCUUCUGAUGUAAAAAAUAGCUUUAUAAAUGCAUUUCAUUUGAUCUGACUUUAUUAUAAAGAGGUAUUUUUAUGGUGGAAAAAAUAGCUUCCCCAAAACUUGAAACUCACACACUGCAUAUGAGAGAGACACUUACUAGCUAGACAGACUUCAAGCUAUCUUGAGGAGGCAUUGUAUGUCACCUGGCAAUUCUCUAUUAACUAAUUUACUGCCUAUUGAUGUCACCAGCCAGGCCAAAGUUCCAUCCCACUAAAACAGGUUGAAAUUUCAGGAGGUCUUUUCAAACACCUCUUACCUCUAAAAGGGCAUUACCAUUUUCUUCACAAUUUCACAGUAUUAUUCCAACAUCAUAGUGUGGAAAGAUUUUCAAAAUCACGUUUUUUACUGCACUGGGCUUUUAACUGAGUUACUGGAGGGUAUAACAUAAACAAGGACGUGAAAACGUAGAACAAUUAUCUGACGGACAGAAGAGUGAAUAUGCACACAAAUGAAGCAAUUAUUUUUUAAAUAAGUUUAUUGAUACAUUUUAGAUUGCAACUCAAUUCAUAAAUACAAACUGUAUACAGAAAGUAUAAUAAAUGUAAGAUAGUUAACUGACACGUAUUCAUGUCAGUUAACACGUAUUCGCAUUACGUAUUCGCAUUGUUACAAUUCUGUCUAUAUCCAUUUGUUUUGCAUAGAAUGUGCGAGGAUCUUCAUUUACAUUCGCAAAAAUGUGUUUUAAUCGUAAUUGAAUCUUCUCAAAGAGGACUAAAUAAAUGUAUGUGAACUAAAUGAAUACCUCAUACUCGAGCAUUGAUGACACAGCUAUCACUCCUGAAAGCGUUAUAUCAGAUCUGUAUCUUAAAAUAUGAAAUAAGCAUCCUCUUUUGAUUGAACAGAGGACAGGUAACCAAAGUCUCGUUUGAAAUGACAAGCUGCAGACUAUUUUCAGACACAUGAGAGAAUGGCCCCUAAUGUCAAACCCAAAGCAAGGUACGAAGUGAUUUUUUUUUUGAUUGUGAGUGUCAUUUUGUCCUCAUGCCCUCAUCAACAUUUUGUGCUCCUUUCACAUGUAA